rnacentral:lncRNA from 1 species
UUUUUACUAUUUAAGUGUAAGUAGUAAUAGUUAAUUCCUAUAUUACGAUGGAUCAUAAAAAUAGAUUAAGAGAAUUAAAAAUAACUAACAAAAAUAAAGAAAGAAAGAAAGAAAAACAAAUGAAUUAAACCAAUACACCAAACAGGAAGAUUAACGCAUUUUAAGGUUUGCAACUAAUUUAUGAUUGGGGGUCUAGCGUGAAUUAGUCAUCGAUUAAGCAAUUAUUACCUUCUAGCUCUAACUAACUUAAUCGAUUGGUUGAUACUUGCUUUCUCGACAUCACUUUCUCAACUCGGAUAAAUUAAGAUUUACUCAGUUUGACUUUAUCUUCCGAUCUCGUCUACCCUAUGAUAACAUAUUAGGGCUGUCAAGC